AAUAAGGUGGUGGAGAAAAUGGUGAGAAAAAUGAAAAUGAAAAUGAAAAUAUAUAGUCCACAACAUUUAGCAACAUCAUCGUAUCGAUUACUUUGGUAACUCUAAUCAAGAAUGAAUGCAAGAGAUGCAGUGGCUUUACAACAGUUGUGUACUCCAUAUUAUGCAUGGAGUCAUUUGGUUAUGAAUUAUGAAAGCAUAAGAAGAUUUUGGAUCAAGUGCCAAAAUGUCGACCGUUUCCAACACUCUAGAAGAAGAGCUUGUGCACAAAUCUAUGGAGUUCAUAUAUUGCUAUAAAAAGGAUGCAGAAGCUAUGAUUUUACGUUUGUGGAUAAUAACUAAUAAGAGCAAAAAUAUCCUCAAAUUUUUGUGAAAGAUAUUUUCUAAAUGUUGAAACUUGAAACGUAUUAACAAGAGAUGGUUGCUAAGUAUGAUAAGCACCCUUUACCUCUAAUUUUAAAAGAUUGUGGGUUCAGAUCA